CUUACCCUACGGGGGGCAGCAGUGGGGGAUAUUGCACAAUGGGGGAAACCCUGAUGCAGCGACGCCGCGUGUGGGAAGACGGUCCUCUGGAUUGUAAACCACUGUCCCCAGGGACGAAGAUGACGGUACCUGGGGAGGAAGCUCCGGCUAACUACGUGCCAGCAGCCGCGGUAAUACGUAGGGAGCGAGCGUUGUCCGGAUUUACUGGGGGUAAAGGGUGCGUAGGCGGCCCUGCAAGUCAGAAGUGAAAUCCAUGGGCUUAACCCGUGAACUGCUUUUGAAACUGCAGGACACG
rnacentral:rRNA from 1 species